rnacentral:rRNA from 1 species
CGGCAACAGCUCAAAUUUGAAAUCUGGCCCUCUUUGGGGGUCCGAGUUGUAUUCUGGAGAAGCGCUUUCUGUGCCGGACCGUGUACAAGUCCCUUGGAACAGGGCGUCGUAGAGGGUGAGAAUCCCGUCUUUGACACGGACCCCCGGUGCUGUGUGAUGCGCUCUCGAA